rnacentral:misc_RNA from 1 species
AAAUUCCUCAAACCACAUGGUACACUGUACUUUAUGUGGCUUUGGACAUGGGGGUUUUAUUUUUUGCAGGCCUUUCUUUUGAGGUGUGCUCCCCUGAAAUGCAUUAGUGGUAUCUGGAGCAGAGGAGACUACUAGGUGUGAUAAAUUAUCUAUGCCUUUUGGUAUGCUGCAUGAAACAGAUUGGACUGCUUCUUGAACACACAUUUAUUUUGACCA